CCUACGGGGGGCAGCAGUGGGGAAUAUUGCACAACGGGCGCAAGCCUGAUGCAGCCAUGCCGCGUGUGUGAAGAAGGCCUUCGGGUUGUAAAGCACUUUCAGUGAGGAGGAAGGUGGUGAGCUUAAUACGCUCAUCAAUUGACGUUACUCGCAGAAGAAGCACCGGCUAACUCCGUGCCAGCAGCCGCGGUAAUACGGAGGGUGCAAGCGUUAAUCGGAAUUACUGGGCGUAAAGCGCACGCAGGCGGUCUGUCAAGUCGGAUGUGAAAUCCCCGGGCUCAACCUGGGAACUGCAUUCGAAACUGGCAGGCUAGAGUCUUGUAGAGGGGGGUAGAAUUCCAGGCGUAGCGGUGAAAUGCGUAGAGAUCUGGAGGAAUACCGGUGGCGAAGGCGGCCCCCUGGACAAAGACUGACGCUCAGGUGCGAAAGCGUGGGGAGCAAACAGGAUUAGAUACCCCUGUAGUC
rnacentral:rRNA from 1 species